GGCUUUUAAAUGUGCGCUUAGCUACGGCUGGUGCCCGUAGGGCUUCGCUCACUUGAGCCCCGCCCGAGGAAAGGCAGC
rnacentral:tRNA from 1 species